UAAUACUCCAUAGAUUAGAGACACUGGAAUGUUCUUUAGUCGAAAGUUCUGGCGCCUUAGGAUGGAUCUGCGGUCGAUUAGGUUGUUGUUGGGGUAACGGCCCAACAAGCCUGUAAUCGAUACGGGUUGUGGGAGCAAGAGCCCGGAGAUGGAAUCUGAGACACGAUUCCAGGCCCUACGGGGCGCAGCAGGCGCGAAAACUUUACAAUGCAGGAAACUGUGAUAAGGGAACUCCGAGUGCCCGUAUACGCGGGCUGUCCAGGUGUUUAAAAAUCAUCUGAAGAGAGGGCCGGGCAAGACCGGUGCCAGCCGCCGCGGUAAUACCGGCGGCUCGAGUGGUGGCCACUAUUAUUGGGCUUAAAGCGUCCGUAGCUGGACCGAUAAGUCUCUUGGGAAAUCCGCCGGCUCAACCGGCGGGCGUCUAAGGGAUACUGUUAGUCUAGGGACCGGGAGAGGUGAGAGGUACUCCGGGGGUAGGAGUGAAAUCCUGUAAUCCCCGGGGGACCACCGAUGGCGAAGGCAUCUCACCAGAACGGCUCCGACAGUGAGGGACGAAAGCUGGGGGAGCGAACCGGAUUAGAUACCCGGGUAGUCCCAGCCGUAAACUAUGCGCGUUAGGUGU
rnacentral:rRNA from 1 species